rnacentral:misc_RNA from 1 species
AAGUCGUAACAAGGUUUCCGUAGGUGAACCUGCGGAAGGAUCAUUAAUGAUUAAAACAUGGCUUCCCUGUUGGGGGCUGCCUUUUGGCAACCUCUGGAGGGAAAACCGUAAACCCCAUCUCGUGCAUUCGUUUAGCCGUAGUCGGCGUGAUUCUCUCGGUCCUUCCUUCGGGAAGGGGGCGAGAGUGGCCGGCGCCCCUCGCGGGGCAAACCCAUUCAAUUUCAACUACGAUUCUUGUUUUUUCUUCUUUUUCGGCCGGGCUUUCCAUGUUGGAAGCCGGGUCCGGAGAAAGGAAACCAAAAUCCAAAAACACAACUUUUGGCAACGGAUCUCUAGGCUCUGAC